rnacentral:lncRNA from 10 species
GCUUGAACAACGAGAAGGAUGUAGUCACCACUGACCAAGGAGGGCAGACACUAACAGGAGCUUGUUUGAAGAGGGAGAAGGUCCGGUGUUGAGCUUCAGGCCUGUUGAAUUUGCGAUACCUGUCAGGCAUCCAGGUGGAGCAGCCAGGUCGUUGGAGUUGAAUCUCCCCAUUUCCUAGAUGAAGUAACUGAGUCCAGCGUGGGUGGCGUGCCUGAGCCGACGCAGCUAGUGGCAGGGCUGGAAUUGGCAUCCAGGGUGCCCCCGUGGGUGGCCACAUCCUCAGUUACCUCCUGGAAAAGUCACGAGUGGUGCACCAGAAUCAUGGGGAGCGGAACUUCCACAUCUUCUACCAGCUGCUGGAGGGGGGCGAGGAGGAGACUCUUCGCAGGCUGGGCUUGGAACGGAACCCCCAGAGCUACCUGUACCUGGUGAAGGGCCAGUGUGCCAAAGUCUCCUCCAUCAACGACAAGAGUGACUGGAAGGUCGUCAGGAAGGCUCUGACAGUCAUUGAUUUCACCGAGGAUGAAGUGGAGGACCUGCUGAGCAUCGUGGC